rnacentral:rRNA from 1 species
CACGUAGGGUGCGAGCGUUGUCCGGAAUUAUUGGGCGUAAAGAGCUCGUAGGCGGUCUGUCACGUCGGCUGUGAAAACCCGGGGCUCAACCCCGGGCCUGCAGUCGAUACGGGCAGACUAGAGUGCGGUAGGGGAGACUGGAAUUCCUGGUGUAGCGGUGAAAUGCGCAGAUAUCAGGAGGAACACCGGUGGCGAAGGCGGGUCUCUGGGCCGUAACUGACGCUGAGGAGCGAAAGCGUGGGGAGCGAACAGG